rnacentral:rRNA from 1 species
AGGGUUUGAUCAUGGCUCAGGAUGAACGCUGGCGGCGUGCUUAACACAUGCAAGUCGAACGAACCUUCGGGUUAGUGGCGGACGGGUGAGUAACGCGUGAGAAUCUGCCCUCAGGAGGGGGAUAACGGUUGGAAACGACCGCUAAUACCCCAUAUGCCGAUAGGUGAAAUGAAUUUCGCCUGAGGAUGAGCUCGCGUCUGAUUAGCUAGUUGGUGAGGUAAUGGCUCACCAAGGCUUCGAUCAGUAGCUGGUCUGAGAGGAUGAUCAGCCACACUGGGACUGAGACACGGCCCAGACUCCUACGGGAGGCAGCAGUGGGGAAUUUUCCGCAAUGGGCGAAAGCCUGACGGAGCAACGCCGCGUGAGGGACGAAGGCCUCUGGGCUGUAAACCUCUUUUCUCAAGGAAGAAGAUAUGACGGUACUUGAGGAAUAAGCCACGGCUAAUUCCGUGCCAGCAGCCGCGGUAAUACGGGAGUGGCAAGCGUUAUCCGGAAUUAUUGGGCGUAAAGCGUCCGCAGGCGGCUUAUCAAGUCUGCUGUUAAAACGUGGAGCUUAACUCCAUCAUGGCAGUGGAAACUGAUAGGCUUGAGUAUGGUAGGGGCAGAGGGAAUUCCCGGUGUAGCGGUGAAAUGCGUAGAUAUCGGGAAGAACACCAGUGGCGAAGGCGCUCUGCUGGGCCAUUACUGACGCUCAUGGACGAAAGCCAGGGGAGCGAAAGGGAUUAGAUACCCCUGUAGUCCUGGCCGUAAACGAUGAACACUAGGUGUCGGGGGAAUCGACCCCUUCGGUGUCGUAGCUAACGCGUUAAGUGUUCCGCCUGGGGAGUACGCACGCAAGUGUGAAACUCAAAGGAAUUGACGGGGGCCCGCACAAGCGGUGGAGUAUGUGGUUUAAUUCGAUGCAACGCGAAGAACCUUACCAGGGUUUGACAUCCUGCGAACCUCUUAGAAAUUUGAGGGUGCCUUCGGGAAUGCAGUGACAGGUGGUGCAUGGCUGUCGUCAGCUCGUGUCGUGAGAUGUUGGGUUAAGUCCCGCAACGAGCGCAACCCACGUUUUUAGUUGCCAGCAUUUAGUUGGGCACUCUAGAAAGACCGCCGGUGAUAAACCGGAGGAAGGUGUGGAUGACGUCAAGUCAUCAUGCCCCUUACACCCUGGGCUACACACGUACUACAAUGCUACGGACAAAGGGCAGCAAACUCGCGAGAGCUAGCAAAUCCCAUAAACCGUGGCUCAGUUCAGAUCGUAGGCUGCAACUCGCCUACGUGAAGUAGGAAUCGCUAGUAAUCGCAGGUCAGCAUACUGCGGUGAAUACGUUCCCGGGCCUUGUACACACCGCCCGUCACACCAUGGAAGUUGGCCAUGCCCGAAGUCGUUACUCCAACCCUUGUGGAGGAGGACGCCGAAGGUGGGGCUAAUGACUGGGGUGAAGUCAUAACAAGGUAGCCG